rnacentral:rRNA from 1 species
CAGUAGCCGCGGUAAUACGAAGGGUGCAAGCGUUAAUCGGAAUUACCGGGCGUAAAGCGUGCGUAGGCGGUUUGUUAAGUCUGCUGUGAAAUCCCCGGGCUCAACCUGGGAAUGGCAGUGGAUACUGGCAAGCUAGAGUGUGUCAGAGGAUGGUGGAAUUCCCGGUGUAGCGGUGAAAUGCGUAGAGAUCGGGAGGAACAUCAGUGGCGAAGGCGGCCAUCUGGGACAACACUGACGCUGAGGCACGAAAGCGUGGGGAGCAAACAGGAUUAGAUACCCCCGUAGUCCCUGUCUCUUAUAC